rnacentral:lncRNA from 1 species
GUAAAAAAAUAAUAAAAUAAAAAAAAAAUAAAAAAAUACAUUCUGUUGCUUCUAACUCUAUUUUACAAGCAAGUAUAGCUGACAUCAAUCACAGCACAACCACUGACUUUAUCGUGUAUUUGAUUUCAUUAGUGCAGAUUAAUGUUUGAGAGCUGGUUGUGUAGUCUUAUUGGACUGCGUUUCAGUCAUUGUAAUAUUCAUUCCAUUGUCUGACAACAGAAACAUUAAAAUAUAGUAAUAAAAACAGUUUUAUUGAGAAUUAAAUUAAAUGGCUAAAUUAAAUUGCAAUAUGUGAGCAUAGGGAGGCAAUACAAUACGACGCACUUACUUCAUAAAUAUUCUAAUUAGUGCAUGAUGUCAUAUAGUUCAUGUUCUCAUUAUCUUUUUUUUUCACAAAUCGCAUCCUGAUUAUAAAUAGUAAUAGGCUGAAUUGCAAAAAGGUAGUCUCUAUUUCUAAUACAUGUGUAGCCAAGCCACUGGGAGGCGCUGUCGUUCCUAUUAUGAUAGGUAAGGUAACCCUUGAAAUAAGCACGUGCUUCCAAUUAGUAGAUGAGUUGCGUUCAAUGGUUUGUCGUGCAGGUGGUUGUUGGUCGUUGGGAGAACAAUUGCUGGUCCAUAACUCUGACUCUGGAUGGUUAGAUACAUGAUGGGCUAGCAUAAAAAAAAGAAAAUGCUUUCCAGCAUUAAGGUAAUAUAUUUUUAUUUUUAUUUUAUCAUCUUGUCUCAGUUAUACAUUUCACUGGUAAAUGAUAAAGAACGAGUUUUGAACAAUUUCUUAGUCAUCUGAAUAUUGAUUUUGGGGAGAGGGGCAGGGUUGAUUUAAACGUAAAUCAGAUUUUCUUGUGAAAAAUCAGGGAUUUUUUUUUUUUUUUAAUGGCCAUAUUGCCUAGCCUUAGGCUGCGUUGUCCACUCACGGUUCCCCAACCAUUACCUGUUUCAAGAUGGCAGCUCUGCUGGUUCUGCCCUGGGUCCCCACACCUCUGGCUCUGCCUCAGUCCCCAGGUCUCCCUCCAGCACACGGACCUGGCCCCCCAUCCCUCCACCUACUCUGCCCUUAAUCUGGAGUCCCCUUAGUCGGUUGCUUGGGAACGUCUGGAAGCAGUUUCUUGCAGAGGGGGUUCUGUCAUGAGUCCAGACCCUGCAUUUCUCCCUCUUUCCACCAGAGGUCGCUAUCUCCAGUCCUCCUGGACUCCAUUCCCCAAACUCCAUACACCUGGCCACUCAUUACACUAAUCCCCCGCACUUGAUACACCUGUUCACUAUUUCUCUCAUUACACUCACCCUCAGCUGUUCCCCAUUUUCAGAGAGUACAUAUUCUAUUCGCACUCACCACUAUGUCCGGCUGAAUUAAUUGUUUAAUGUUUUGGAUGCAUGCACUGUGUUGCUGUACCUGAACCUGUUUUGUUUGUCCUUGUUGUUCUUUUUUGUUAAUUAAAGAGAAGUUUCACCUGCAUUUGGACACAGACCCAGUUUUUCCAUGGUGCUCUCUCACUAGAUCAUGACAUUAUGUAGCCAAAAAAUAUGACAUCUGGAAGGCA